UACGUAGGGUGCAAGCGUUGUCCGGAAUUAUUGGGCGUAAAGAGCUCGUAGGCGGUCUGUCGCGUCUGCUGUGAAAACUCAGGGCUUAACCCUGAGCUUGCAGUGGGUACGGGCAGACUAGAGUGCGGUAGGGGAGACUGGAAUUCCGUGGUGAUAGCGGUGAAAUGCGCAGAUAUCAGGAGGAACACCGGUGGCGAAGGCGGGUCUCUGGGCCGUAACUGACGCU
rnacentral:rRNA from 1 species